GAUGAACGCUGGCGGCGUGCCUAAUACAUGCAAGUCGAGCGAACGGACGAGAAGCUUGCUUUUCUGAUGUUAGCGGCGGACGGGUGAGUAACACGUGGAUAACCUACCUAUAAGACUGGGAUAACUUCGGGAAACCGGAGCUAAUACCGGAUAAUAUUUUGAACCGCAUGGUUCAAAAGUGAAAGACGGUCUUGCUGUCACUUAUAGAUGGAUCCGCGCUGCAUUAGCUAGUUGGUAAGGUAACGGCUUACCAAGGCAACGAUGCAUAGCCGACCUGAGAGGGUGAUCGGCCACACUGGCACUGAGACACGGUCCAGACUCCUACGGGAGGCAGCGGUAGGGACUCUUCCGCAAUGGGCGAAAGCCUGACGGAGCAACGCCGCGUGAGUGAUGACGGUCUUCGGAUCGUAAAACUCUGUUAUUGGGGAAGAACAUAUGUGUCAGCACCUGUGCACAUCUUGACGGUACCUACUCAGAGAGCCACCGCUGACUACGUG
rnacentral:rRNA from 1 species